GAUGAACGCUGGCGGCGUGCCUAAUACAUGCAAGUCGAGCGAACGGACGAGAAGCUUGCUUUUCUGAUGUUAGCGGCGGACGGGUGAGUAACACGUGGAUAACCUACCUAUAAGACUGGGAUAACUUCGGGAAACCGGAGCUAAUACCGGAUAAUAUUUUGAACCGCAUGGUUCAAAAGUGAAAGACGGUCUUGCUGUCACUUAUAGAUGGAUCCGCGCUGCAUUAGCUAGUUGGUAAGGUAACGGCUUACCAAGGCAACGAUGCAUAGCCGACCUGAGAGGGUGAUCGGCCACACUGGAACUGAGACACGGUCCAGACUCCUACGGGAAGCAGCAGUAGGGAAUCUUCCGCAAUGGGCGAAAGCCUGACGGAGCAACGCCGCGUGAGUGAUGAAGGUCUUCGGAUCGUAAAACUCUGUUAUUAGGGAAGAACAUAUGUGUAAGUAACUGUGCACAUCUUGACGGUACCUAAUCAGAAAGCCACGGCUAACUACGUGCCAGCAGCCGCGGUAAUACGUAGGUGGCAAGCGUUAUCCGGAAUUAUUGGGCGUAAAGCGCGCGUAGGCGGUUUUUUAAGUCUGAUGUGAAAGCCCACGGCUCAACCGUGGAGGGUCAUUGGAAACUGGAAAACUUGAGUGCAGAAGAGGAAAGUGGAAUUCCAUGUGUAGCGGUGAAAUGCGCAGAGAUGUGGAGGAACACCAGUGGCGAAGGCGACUUUCUGGUCUGUAACUGACGCUGAUGUGCGAAAGCGUGGGGAUCAAACAGGAUUAGACACCCUGGUAGUCCACGCCGUAAACGAUGAGUGCUAAGUGUUAGGGGGUUUCCGCCCCUUAGUGCUGCAGCUAACGCAUUAAGCACUCCGCCUGGGGAGUACGACCGCAAGGUUGAAACUCAAAGGAAUUGACGGGGGCCCGCACAAGCGGUGGAGCAUGUGGUUUAAUUCGAAGCAACGCGAAGAACCUUACCAAAUCUUGACAUCCUUUGACAACUCUAGAGAUAGAGCCUUCCCCUUCGGGGGACAAAGUGACAGGUGGUGCAUGGUUGUCGUCAGCUCGUGUCGUGAGAUGUUGGGUUAAGUCCCGCAACGAGCGCAACCCUUAAGCUUAGUUGCCAUCAUUAAGUUGGGCACUCUAAGUUGACUGCCGGUGACAAACCGGAGGAAGGUGGGGAUGACGUCAAAUCAUCAUGCCCCUUAUGAUUUGGGCUACACACGUGCUACAAUGGACAAUACAAAGGGCAGCGAAACCGCGAGGUCAAGCAAAUCCCAUAAAGUUGUUCUCAGUUCGGAUUGUAGUCUGCAACUCGACUACAUGAAGCUGGAAUCGCUAGUAAUCGUAGAUCAGCAUGCUACGGUGAAUACGUUCCCGGGUCU
rnacentral:rRNA from 1 species